rnacentral:rRNA from 1 species
GUGGGGAAUUUUGGACAAUGGGGGGAACCCUGAUCCAGCCAUGCCGCGUGUGUGAAGAAGGCCUUUUGGUUGUAAAGCACUUUAAGCGAGGAGGAGGCUACCGAGAUUAAUACUCUUGGAUAGUGGACGUUACUCGCAGAAUAAGCACCGGCUAACUCUGUGCCAGCAGCCGCGGUAAUACAGAGGGUGCAAGCGUUAAUCGGAUUUACUGGGCGUAAAGCGCGCGUAGGUGGCCAAUUAAGUCAAAUGUGAAAUCCCCGAGCUUAACUUGGGAAUUGCAUUCGAUACUGGUUGGCUAGAGUAUGGGAGAGGAUGGUAGAAUUCCAGGUGUAGCGGUGAAAUGCGUAGAGAUCUGGAGGAAUACCGAUGGCGAAGGCAGCCAUCUGGCCUAAUACUGACACUGAGGUGCGAAAGCAUGGGGAGCAAACAGGAUUAGAAACCCGGGUAGUCC